CAGAGGGACGGCCGCGGGAGCUCCCUGGCCUGGAGCAGAGGCCGCCAACCUGGAGAUGCCGGGGGCGGUGCGGUGGUGGGGCGGCGACCUGCUGGCCGGAGCAGGUGGAUGGGCGGCGAGUUGUGGAGGCGGGCAUCCGCGAUGGAUCUCCUGUGCUCCGCGAGAUUGGAUUGCCGGCUCUGGCGGGAGGCCGGCGGGAGCUCCGCCUGCCUUCGGCGGCGCGAGGGCAGCGGGACGGCGACGCGAGGGUAGCGAGCCAGCGGGAGCUCCGCUUGCUUCUGGGGGAAGAUUUCAGUUUGGAUUUCAAUUUGAAUUUCAAUUUCCAGCCCAAAUUUCAAACGAAUUUCAAUUUGAGGGAUCUUUUGACAAAAAUUCAAUUGCACGGGAGGGGUGGAAGGAUGC
rnacentral:lncRNA from 1 species